GAGCCCAUAGCUCAGCGGCAGAGCGUUCGUAUCACACACGAAAGGCCGAUGGUUCAAAUCCAUCUGGGCUCA
rfam:Candidatus Curtissbacteria bacterium RBG_13_40_7 RBG_13_scaffold_1732, whole genome shotgun sequence.